rnacentral:rRNA from 1 species
UCCGUAGGUGGAUAAUUAAGUCAGAGGUGAAAUCCUGCAGCUCAACUGUAGAAUUGCCUUUGAUACUGGUUAUCUUGAGUCAUUAUGAAAUGGUUAGAAUGUGUAGUGUAGCGGUGAAAUGCAUAGAUAUUACACAGAAUACCGAUUGCGAAGGCAGAUCACUAAUAAUGUACUGACACUGAGGGACGAAAGCGUGGGGAGCGAACAGGAUUAGAUACCCUGGUAGUCC